GACGAACGCUGGCGGCGUGCUUAACACAUGCAAGUCGAACGGAAAGGCCCUGCUUUUGUGGGCUGCUCGAGUGGCGAACGGGUGAGUAACACGUGAGUAACCUGCCCUUGACUUUGGGAUAACUUCAGGAAACUGGGGCUAAUACCGUAUAGGAUCUCCUGCUGCAGGGUGGGGGGUGGAAAGUUUAGGCGGUUGGGGUUGGACGCGCGGCUGAUCAGCUUGUUGGUUGGGGAGGGGCUUGCCAAGGCUUGGGAGGGUCGCCGGCAGGGGAGGGUGGCCGGCGACAUUGCGCCUGCGGUACGGACCAGAGUGCUACGGGGGGCAGAAGUGGGGAAUAUUGCCCAAUGGGAGGAAGUGUGAUGCAGCAGCGCUGCGUGCGGGAUGACGGCUUUCGGGUUGUGAAAAGCUUCCGCCUGUGACGAAGCGGGAGUGACGGUAAUGGGUAAAGAAGCACCGGCUAACUACGUG
rnacentral:rRNA from 1 species